GAGUGUUAUCUAUCGAUUUGAGGAUUUAACUUCCUAGCUGACUAGCAAAUCAAAUACAUGUAAUAUCAAAUUUAUAAUGAUUAAAAACAUUCAUGACAAGUAGGACUAAUAGUUAGAAAACAAAUAAGAUGAGCUCGAAGAAGAGAAUAAAGAGUUACAAGAGGCGCAAGCGUCAAAAGAUGCAACGCAAAGGUAUUCUUCAAAAACGUACUUCAGUAGAUAUAGAAGAAUUCAUUACUGACUUUGAAAUUGCUUCUAACAGGACUGUGGACAACAAGUGGCUUAUAUAUAAGAUUAUCAUUAUGGUCGUAUUGAUGGUAUUCUUUAUUUAUUGGUUCUUUCGGCGUGUACAAACAUUGAUGGUACUAUUAAUCGAUUGCUUCGUCUGGCUUGUACAAACGUUGAUGGUACCUUUUAUUGAUUGGUUCGUCCGGCUUGUACAAACAAGAACCGGUUUAGACUUACUCGCAGUCGCAAAUAAACUUUUUACCAAAUUACAUCAAAUUAUUCACUUUAUGGACAAAUGUUUUGGUGCUGUAUUAAAUACUGUCUAUAGAUUGUGCGACCCUUGUAUUGCCGGCUUCUCCCCCUUGCAAUUCGACAUUACCAGUAGGUGAACCUGAAGUCUUUGUACCACGUCCAGCACCACCACCGCCUGACCUUCUUGACAACUGAUCAUUUAAAUUCGUACUAUUCCUUGUGUAUUAAGAAAACUUCGCCACAGAACUAUCAAUUUAAGCUCUUUACAUUUACUUGUUUAAAAAUAUCAUCCGCGGUAAAAUUGAUACUUCUAGUUUUCAAAAUCACUGGCCCGUAUUUCCAGUCAGAAAUUAAUUACUGUGCUCAGAAAUGCAAUGAAAAUCAAGAGCUAUUUAUUGGCUGAGGUACACGGAUGCAAGAAUAAAACAAUUGAAUAAAACGUGCAAUCAUAUUUAGUCUCA